GGAAGGGCAAGAAUUUGGAGCUGGGUAGAGGGAAAGCUCAUGACCUGUUCACAGGCUCUAGGACUUACAACUCUGCUUCUAUGUGUAAUCUGGACACUUGCUUUGGGACGGGCAAUACUUGGUGUUUGCAAAAAAGGAGUGGGGCCAGGCAUGGUGGCUCAUGCCUAUAAUCCUAGCACUUUGGAAGGACAAAGUGGGCAGAUUGCCUGAGCUCAGGAGUUCGAGAGGUGGUUUGUCUCUUUGUGGGUCUGUCUCCCAAACAGGAAAAGGCACAAUGAGGGCAGAGACUGUGACUUUUUAAUCUCUGUGUUUCUAAUGCCCAAGAUAAGGCC
rnacentral:lncRNA from 1 species